rnacentral:rRNA from 1 species
AUUGAACGCUGGCGGCAGGCCUGACACAUGCAAGUCGAACGGUAACAGAAAGCAGCUUGCUGCUUUGCUGACGAGUGGCGGACGGGUGAGUAAUGUCUGGGAAACUGCCUGAUGGAGGGGGAUAACUACUGGAAACGGUAGCUAAUACCGCAUAACGUCGCAAGACCAAAGAGGGGGACCUUCGGGCCUCUUGCCAUCGGAUGUGCCCAGAUGGGAUUAGCUAGUAGGUGGGGUAACGGCUCACCUAGGCGACGAUCCCUAGCUGGUCUGAGAGGAUGACCAGCCACACUGGAACUGAGACACGGUCCAGACUCCUACGGGAGGCAGCAGUGGGGAAUAUUGCACAAUGGGCGCAAGCCUGAUGCAGCCAUGCCGCGUGUAUGAAGAAGGCCUUCGGGUUGUAAAGUACUUUCAGCGGGGAGGAAGGGAGUAAAGUUAAUACCUUUGCUCAUUGACGUUACCCGCAGAAGAAGCACCGGCUAACUCCGUG